AAUAGAUACCCAGGUAGUCCACGCCGUAAACGAUGAGUGCUAAGUGUUGGGGGGUUUCCGCCCCUCAGUGCUGCAGCUAACGCAUUAAGCACUCCGCCUGGGGAGUACGGUCGCAAGACUGAAACUCAAAGGAAUUGACGGGGGCCCGCACAAGCGGUGGAGCAUGUGGUUUAAUUCGAAGCAACGCGAAGAACCUUACCAGGUCUUGACAUCCCGGUGACCACUAUGGAGACAUAGUUUCCCCCUCGGGGGCAACGGUGACAGGUGGUGCAUGGUUGUCGUCAGCUCGUGUCGUGAGAUGUUGGGUUAAGUCCCGCAACGAGCGCAACCCUUAUUCUUAGUUGCCAUCAUUCAGUUGGGCACUCUAAGGAGACUGCCGGUGAUAAACCGGAGGAAGGUGGGGAUGACGUCAAAUCAUCAUGCCCCUUAUGACCUGGGCUACACACGUGCUACAAUGGACGGUACAAACGGUUGCCAACCCGCGAGGGGGAGCUAAUCCGAUAAAACCGUUCUCAGUUCGGAUUGUAGGCUGCAACUCGCCUAC
rnacentral:rRNA from 1 species